rnacentral:rRNA from 1 species
UAUACAAAGAAGAGUUUGAUCCUGGCUCAGGAUGAACGCUAGCGAUAGGCCUAACACAUGCAAGUCGAGGGGCAGCAUAGAGUAGCAAUACUUUGAUGGCGACCGGCGCACGGGUGAGUAACACGUAUGCAACCUACCUACAUCAGGGGAAUAACCCGGAGAAAUUCGGACUAAUACCGCAUAAUACAGGGAUGCCGCAUGGCAAUAUUUGUUAAAGAUUUAUCGGAUGUAGAUGGGCAUGCGUUCCAUUAGCUAGUUGGUAAGGUAACGGCUUACCAAGGCAACGAUGGAUAGGGGAACUGAGAGGUUUGUCCCCCACACUGGAACUGAGACACGGACCAGACUCCUACGGGAGGCAGCAGUGAGGAAUAUUGGUCAAUGGACGAGAGUCUGAACCAGCCAAAUCGCGUGAAGGAAGACUGCCCUACGGGUUGUAAACUUCUUUUGUACAGGAAUAAAAGACAUUACGUGUAAUGUAUUGCAUGUACUGUACGAAUAAGCAUCGGCUAACUCCGUGCCAGCAGCCGCGGUAAUACGGAGGAUGCGAGCGUUAUCCGGAUUUAUUGGGUUUAAAGGGUGCGCAGGCGGGAUUUUAAGUCAGCGGUGAAAUUUUCAGGCUCAACCUGAACACUGCCGUUGAAACUGGGAUUCUUGAGUAUGGAUGAAGUAGGCGGAAUUCGUUGUGUAGCGGUGACAUGCUUAGAUAUAACGAGGAACUCCGAUUGCGUAGGCAGCUUACUAAGCCAUAACUGACGCUCAAGCACGAAAGCGUGGGGAUCAAACAGGAUUAGAUACCCUGGUAGUCCACGCCGUAAACGAUGAUUACUAGUUGUUUGCGAUAUACCGUAAGUGACUAAGCGAAAGCGAUAAGUAAUCCACCUGGGGAGUACGCCGGCAACGGUGAAACUCAAAGGAAUUGACGGGGGCCCGCACAAGCGGAGGAACAUGUGGUUUAAUUCGAUGAUACGCGAGGAACCUUACCCGGGCUUGAAAUGUACCUGACCGUCCUUGAAAAGGGACUUCUAGCAAUAGCAGGUAUGUAGGUGCUGCAUGGUUGUCGUCAGCUCGUGCCGUGAGGUGUCGGCUUAAGUGCCAUAACGAGCGCAACCCACAUUAUUAGUUACUAACAGGUUAAGCUGAGGACUCUAAUAAGACUGCCGUCGUAAGAUGCGAGGAAGGUGUGGAUGACGUCAAAUCAGCACGGCCCUUACGUCCGGGGCGACACACGUGUUACAAUGGGAGGUACAAAGGGCUGCUACCUGGUGACAGGAUGCUAAUCCCCAAAGCCUCUCCCAGUUCGGAUCGGAGUCUGCAACUCGACUCCGUGAAGCUGGAUUCGCUAGUAAUCGCGCAUCAGCCAUGGCGCGGUGAAUACGUUCCCGGGCCUUGUACACACCGCCCGUCAAGCCAUGGGAGCCGGGGGUAUCUGAAGUGCGUAACCGCAAGGAGCGUCCUAGGGUAAAACUGGUGACUGGGGCUAAGUCGUAACAAGGUAGCCGUACCGGAAGGUGCGGCUGGAACACCUCCUUU